GCUCCCAGACUCACCUCCUCAGUCUGAUUACAAGUUCCCCCCCGGAUUCCACGACUGGCAGUUGCAUCGCUCCUUUGUCCCCGCCAAGCCCGAGCCUACCUGUCCGCCCUCCGACGCACUUCCCCGUUUCCUUCCUGGACACCAGCCGUCAGGCACCGUACCAUCUGGACCACUUAAAAGACAAAGACCCCGAACCUCACAGUAAACCCUCCUGGAUCUCACACCAUCGAACCACAAAGAGCCGAUCGCUCCGUGAACCCGUUUCCUCCCUGGACCAGACCAGAGCUUCUACACCCUUUACUUGCCGUUUCACAAUAAACCAAUUACCGUA